ACUCAUUCAAAAUGUGAUUGCCUUGGCAAUAUCUAGAAUAUGUUGCUACACAGAAAUAUGUUAAUACAGGCAUCUGCAUACUGGCUCAGAUUUCGCCUGCUCACUUGAAAACAAGGACAGAUAAAUGUUGGUUGGGGAGAAGCCCUUAUAUAGACCUGCAUGCUGGAGUUGUGGUGCAGGCAAAGGAGAGAGGAAGUUAAUAUGAGAGUCUCUUGCCACAGGCUAAUGUGAGUUUGUAGUAUAGGACUGGUUGUCUGAGGAAGCCUCAUGAGGUGUUACAGUUCUCCCAGGUGGUUUGAGGCUACACAGAAGGCCUGAAUUGCAGCUCUCCAGCAAGAGGUGCUAUCACUGAGAUGAUCUUUAGGAAAAAACCAACAGUAGAUAGGAACAGCCAGAGCAUUUUAAUACGUAGAGUCACCCGUGAAAAUCUGUAGCAAGGUAAGAAAUGGCACUUACCCUUUUCCUUCUGGCAUCAGUGCAACAGAUUCGAAAAGCUUAGAAAUACCACCCCAUUAAAUGAACCCCCUUUGGUCCUGGCAAUACCAGUUCUUCAGAAUCUGUUAUAGCCCAUUUAAGUAGUUUAAUGCCACUGAAGUAUCUUUUUAGUUUAAGAUUGCAGUUGACUGAAAUACUUACCUCCAAGCAUUGUGGGUUAGCAGAACACAAAUUACAGCUGUCCCAGCUGUGUCCCCUCCCAGCAUCUUGUGCACCCCCCAGCCUGCUCACUGAUGGGGCAGUGUGAGAAAAGGCCUGAUGCCAUGUAAGCACUGCACAUCAAUAACUGAAACAUGGGUGUGCUGUCUACACUGCUUUGGUCACAAAUCCAAAACAUAGCACCAUAUGAGCUACUUUGAAGAACACCAACUAUCCCAAUCAAACCCAAGAAAAUAGUGAGGUAGGUAGAAGGAUGAAGGAAGAGAAGGUGGUAAAGUUGUAACUCAAUAGGCAUAUGUUUUAUGCAUGAAGUUGUUAUUUUAAAUUAAUUCUUUCAUAAAUAUAUGAAGAGCUUCUUCGUAAAUCUCAGUUAGGUUUCCCAGGAGAGAAAAAUUUAGGAGAGGGCUUGGGUGAAAAGAAAUUGGUAGUUGCAGAGCAGCUUAAAAAGAAUGCUGCCCAAAAGAAAAGCCAGAAGGAAAAUGAAGGAUAGGGAAGGCUGUAAAAGAAGAAGGAGCCAAACAGGUUAUUUUAUAAUCUAGGGAUUCAAGUGUGAAAUAAGUUAUUAGCUUAACUGAUAUAUAUAGCAAAAUAGACAAGCCUUCGCAAAACCAGAUCUGUUUCACGUAAAGACAAAGGCAGCAAGUUUAAACAGCUUCUGAAAUAUAUGUGUUUUUUCCGACAGUUGCUGGUUGGUCUAAUUUUAGUUUUCUGACAAACAUUUAUCUAAAGCUGGCAUGAUUGAUGCGGAAGCAGUAACAGAGAAGGACUCAAGAAGGAAGCUAAGGAUCUGAAUACGAGAAAAGAAAAAACUUGCUGUUUCUUAAAAAUCUUGAAGGAUCUUGGUUUUCCCCCCAGAUGGAACAGGAAGAAUUUUCAAAAUCUGAAAAGUUUCCAGACACUCCUAACCACUUCUGAACUGUAAUUGUCUUAAGAUACCAUCUUUUUAAAUUUUACUAGUAAAACUUACAAAAUACCUGCCAAGUCAUAUUCAAUAAAGAUGCUGUAAAAUGUUUAUUUUUGUCGUACAUUUUCCUAGUGAAACACAAGUUUGGGGAUUAAGGUAAAAUACUGCAUCAUGAGGACCUGGAUCAGGAGGAGGUUGAUGGGGUUUAACAAGACAGGAUGUUUCAAAUGUAGCCAUUUUGAAUGACCGGUCUGAAUUUGACUCAUGUAAGAAGUCACAUAUGAUAAACAGAUUUCACAAUUAGAUCCUAGUGAUAUGAAGGUUUACAUCAGCAUUCAGUGCAGGUUUUUUUCAUCCUUUGUAUGUUAUCAUUUAGAAAAUAAAUGUACAUUUUUUCAAGUUUUCACUUUUCAGAAUUGUUUCCAGUUUUUGUGAUUGACACUGUUUAUACUGGAUGUCAGAACAUUCCCUAUUUUAUAAAUAUGUGAUUUUGAAAUGCAAUACAUCACAGUGCUUGUUUUAGUGUAAUAUGACUACUCUACGAUAAAAACAGUUUGUUCCCCCAAGAUCCAAACAAACAAAA